rnacentral:misc_RNA from 1 species
AAAUGCGAUAAGUAGUGUGAAUUGCAGAAUUCAGUGAAUCAUCGAAUCUUUGAACGCACAUUGCGCCCCUCGGUAUUCCGUGGGGCAUGCCUGUUCGAGCGUCAUCUACACCCUCAAGCUCUGCUUGGUGUUGGGCGUCUGUCCCGCCUCCUUCGCGCGCGGACUCGCCCCAAAUCCAUUGGCGGUGGCCCUUGCCUCCCUCUCGCGCAGCACAUUGCGCUUCUCGAGGCGCGGCGGACCGCGUCCAGCAAGCAACCGUCACACCGUCUUUGACCUCGGAUCAGGUAGGGAUACCCGCUGAACUUAAGC